rnacentral:rRNA from 1 species
UACGUAGGGUGCAAGCGUUACUCGGAAUUACUGGGCGUAAAGCGUGCGCAGGCGGCUUUGCAAGACAGAUGUGAAAUCCCCGGGCUUAACCUGGGAACUGCAUUUGUGACUGCAUGGCUGGAGUGCGGCAGAGGGGGAUGGAAUUCCGCGUGUAGCAGUGAAAUGCGUAGAUACGCGGAGGAACACCGAUGGCGAAGGCAAUCCCCUGGGCCUGCACUGACGCUCAUGCACGAAAGCGUGGGGAGCAAACAGG